UAAUAGUGGAAACGUGUGGUUUACUAUGUACGUGUAAUUUAUCUACAUAGAUAGCAGCUAUUAGCGUGCCCUCUGCCAGAUGUAAAACAUCUAGACAUUCUUCGUUAAUGCCGGAAAUUUUUCCUUCUUGGUGUGUACGGUCGGUCCAAGGCUAUGCCCUUUCUUCUUCGUUUGCAUCCGAACUGCAUCAAAUGCUUGGAACACAUUAGGAUCUCCAAGUUUUUUACGCAGAUCAGCACCUCUUCUUUGCACCAACUACGCGACGGUGUCAUAGUAAUAUGACGCUACACUUCAAGUUCCAUGUAGGCACCCGAUCUCCGACCAUGUAGACACCCGAUCUCGCUUCACAUGAUCCAGCCAUCGAGUUUGCUGUGCUCC